GGACUACUGGGGUAUCUAAUCCUGUUUGCUCCCCUUGCUCUCGCGCCUCAGCGUCAGGAAUAAGCUAGAAAACCGCUUUCGCCACAGGUGUUCUUCCACAUAUCUACGCAUUUCACCGCUACACGUGGAAUUCCGUUUUCUCCGCCAAUCCUCUAGUUAUGCAGUUUCACAUGCCGCUCCGGAAUUGAGUCCCGGAAUUUCACAUCUGACUUACAUAUCCGCCUACGCGCCCUUUACGCCCAGUAAUUCCGAUUAAUGCUUGCGCUCUCCGUAUUACCGCGGCUGCUGGCAC
rnacentral:rRNA from 1 species